rnacentral:misc_RNA from 1 species
CGCAGCCGCGGUAAUUCCAGCUCCAAUAGCGUAUAUUAAAGUUGUUGCAGUUAAAAAGCUCGUAGUUGAAUUUCGGGAUCAAUAUAUCGGUCGUGCCUUGGUACGUACUGGUAUCAUUGGUUUCUCCUUUCUGACGAACCAUGAUGUCAUUAAUUUGGUGUUAUGGGAAGUUAGGACUGUUACUUUGAAAAAAUUAGAGUGUUUAAAGCAGGCUUUAGCUUGAAUACAUUAGCAUGGAAUAAUGAAAUAGGACGUUCGAACCUAUUUUGUUGGUUUCUAGGAUCAACGUAAUGAUUAAUAGGGAUAGUUGGGGGCGAUUAGUAUUCAAUUGUCAGAGGUGAAAUUACUUGGAUUUAUUGAAGNCUAACUACUGCGAAAGCAAUUGCCAAGGAUGUUUUCAUUAAUCAAGAACGAAAGUUAGGGGAUCGAAGACGAUCAGAUACCGUCGUAGUCUUAACCAUAAACUAUGCCGACUAGGGAUCGGAUGAUGUUAAUUUUUUAAUGACUCAUUCGGCGCCUU